AGUGAACGCUGGCGGUAGGCCUAACACAUGCAAGUCGAACGGCAGCACAGUAAGAGCUUGCUCUUACGGGUGGCGAGUGGCGGACGGGUGAGGAAUACAUCGGAAUCUACUUUUUCGUGGGGGAUAACGUAGGGAAACUUACGCUAAUACCGCAUACGACCUACGGGUGAAAGCAGGGGAUCUUCGGACCUUGCGCGAUUGAAUGAGCCGAUGCCGGAUUAGCUAGUUGGCGGGGUAAAGGCCCACCAAGGCGACGAUCCGUAGCUGGUCUGAGAGGAUGAUCAGCCACACUGGAACUGAGACACGGUCCAGACUCCUACGGGAGGCAGCAGUGGGGAAUAUUGGACAAUGGGCGCAAGCCUGAUCCAGCUAUACCGCGUGGGUGAAGAAGGCCUUCGGGUUGUAAAGCCCUUUUGUUGGGAAAGAAAAGCAGCAGGUUAAUACCCCGCUGUUCUGACGGUACCCAAAGAAUAAGCACCGGCUAACUUCGUG
rnacentral:rRNA from 1 species